rnacentral:rRNA from 1 species
AGAGUUUGAUCAUGGCUCAGGAUGAACGCUGGCGGCGUGCCUAACACAUGCAAGUCGAACGGGUGUGGUAUCAGGGAAAAGGGGUUUACUUCUUUGACCAGAUAACACACUAGUGGCGGACGGGUGAGUAACGCGUGGAUAACCUGCCUUAUACAGGGGGAUAACAGGGAGAAAUUCUUGCUAAUACCCCAUAGGUAUGUCUGACGCAUGUUGGACAUAUUAAAGCUUUGGCGGUAUAAGAUGGGUCCGCGUCUGAUUAGCUAGUUGGUGGGGUAAAGGCCCACCAAGGCGACGAUCAGUAGCCGGCUUGAGAGAGUGGACGGCCACAUUGGGACUGAGACGCGGCCCAAACUCCUACGGGAGGCAGCAGUGGGGAAUAUUGCACAAUGGGGGAAACCCUGAUGCAGCGACGCCGCGUGAAGGAAGGAGGUCUUCGGAUCGUAAACUUCUAUCAGCAGGGAAGAAGGAAGUGACAGUACCUGAGUAAGAAGCCCCGGCUAACUACGUGCCAGCAGCCGCGGUAAUACGUAGGGGGCGAGCGUUAUCCGGAAUUACUGGGUGUAAAGGGUGCGUAGGCGGUAUGGCAAGUCAGUUGUGAAACCCCCUGGCUCAACCAGGGGCUUGCAAUUGAAACUGUCAUACUAGAGUGCAGGAGAGGAAAGCGGAAUUCCUAGUGUAGCGGUGAAAUGCGUAGAUAUUAGGAAGAACACCAGUGGCGAAGGCGGCUUUCUGGACUGUAACAGACGCUGAGGCACGAAAGCGUGGGGAGCGAACAGGAUUAGAUACCCUGGUAGUCCACGCCGUAAACGAUGAGUGCUAGGUGUUGGGGUCUAAUUAGAUCUCGGUGCUGAAGUUAACGCAUUAAGCACUCCACCUGGGGAGUACGAUCGCAAGAUUGAAACUCAAAUGAAUUGACGG